rnacentral:rRNA from 1 species
AGAGUUUGAUCCUGGCUCAGGAUAAACGCUGGCGGCGUGCUUUAUGCAUGCARGUCGAACGGUCCUUCCYGCAAGGGAAGGAUAGUGGCAAAUGGGUGAGUAACGCGUAAGUAACCUGCCCCUAAGUAGGGGAUAACUCUGAGAAAUCGGAGCUAAUACCGUAUGUGGUGUUGGAGGUAAGGCUUCAUCACUAAAGCCUUCGGGCGCUUGGGGAAGGGCUUGCGUCCGAUUAGCUAGUUGGUAGAGUAACGGUUUACCAAGGCGGUGAUCGGUAGCUGGUCUGAGAGGAUGGUCAGCCACACUGGGACUGAGACACGGCCCAGACUCCUACGGGAGGCAGCAGCAAGGAAUUUUGUGCAAUGGGCGAAAGCCUGACACAGCGACGCCGCGUGGGGGAUGAAGGCCUUCGGGUUGUAAACCCCUUUUCUCAGGGAGGAAUAAUGACAGUACCUGAGGAAUAAGUCACGGCUAACUACGUGCCAGCAGCCGCGGUAAUACGUAGGUGGCGAGCGUUAUCCGGAUUUAUUGGGCGUAAAGAGAGCGCAGACGGCUUUUUAAGUCGGGUGUAAAAUCUCCCAGCUUAACUGGGAGGGACCAUUCGAUACUGUCAAGCUAGAGGACAACAGAGGGAGGUAGAAUUCCCGGUGUAGUGGUGAAAUGCGUAGAUAUCGGGAGGAAUACCAGUGGCGAAGGCGGCCUCCUGGGWUGUUUCUGACRYUSAKGCUCGAARGUGUGGGGAGCRAACAGGAUUAGAUACCCUGGUAGUCC